CAUGCGUGUCUGCCAGACACAGCAACAUGCAGGAGGAGGGAGGGAAGGAAAGCUUUGAAGCCUCCUAGGGGACUACAGCUCUGCCUUAAUGAAAUCCAUUACAGAGCUCCGCUUUCAAUAAGGGAAGGCACUUGCAAAACACAUGUCUAGCAACGAAAAUGAGACUCUCCCAUGAAGUGUAAAAGUUGUGACAAGGCAGCUACAGAUGGAGAUGACAAGGUUCUGCCUGCCACAGACAGCUCAGAAAAUAUCCCAAAGUGUACGACAGCCACAGGGAGUUCCGGGAUUUCAAUCAGAGCUCGAUGGAAUCAAGCGCAGCCUGAAAUACAUUAGCUGCAUGGUGUAUGUAGCUACAUCAAUGUGGCAUUUUCAACAAUUAUCACCUAGUUGGAUCUGCAAGAUAGCCACACAGCUGUGCAAACAGGUAUCCUUGCAUGCUUAACAUGUGCACAGGCAUGCAUUUUGACAUCUGUUUUACAUAGCCAAUCUAUACGUGUACAUUUUUUUUAGCCCACAGGCUCUGCUCUUUGUUGGCCUUAAGUGUCCCCAGUACUUCAAAGCGCAAGUGUGAUGAAUUAACCCUGAUACUCCAUUUGUCAAAGAACGAAGUACCCUUGACAGAAUCCUCAUACCCAUGCUCAAAAGCAAAAGUGAUUUUGUCAUAAGAAUGCAGUCACUACAUCAGUUGGUCUACUUGGUCUAGAGGAAGCAUGGGUUAAUGGUUAACUCUUAUGUCUAGGAGACAGAAGUUCUGGGCUCUAAUCCCUCACUUCCUGUAUGACUUUCCAAACAUCACUGAAGAGACCUGGUCUUCACUAGGGAAAAAGGUGUGUUGCUAACACAUGGUCAGAAUUAUAUUCUAUGUAAAGUCUUCACAGAGUGCCCAGCUCUGUAGUGAGUAGGCACCACUUUGUGUUUGUUUCCCCAUCUGUAAUAGAGAUAAUUCAAAGG
rnacentral:lncRNA from 1 species